rnacentral:rRNA from 1 species
AUUGAACGCUGGCGGCAGGCUUAACACAUGCAAGUCGAGCGAGCGGCGGACGGGUGAGUAAUGUCUGGGAAACUGCCUGAUGGAGGGGGAUAACUACUGGAAACGGUAGCUAAUACCGCAUACCAUCAGAUGUGCCCAGAUGGGAUUAGCUAGUAGGUGGGGUAACGGCUCACCUAGGCGACGAUCCCUAGCUGGUCUGAGAGGAUGACCAGCCACACUGGGACUGAGACACGGUCCAGACUCCUACGGGAGGCAGCAGUGGGGAAUAUUGCACAAUGGGCGAAAGCCUGAUGCAGCCAUGCCGCGUGUGUGAAGAAGGUCUUCGGAUUGUAAAGCACUUUCAGUUGGGAGGCGUUACUAACAGAAGAAGCACCGGCUAACUCCGUGCCAGCAGCCGCGGUAAUUC